AAGUUUUAAGAUGGCACUCACCCUCUUUGUGAAAAGUUUAACAUUACUAACAAAGUCUAAUCAUAUCUUUAGAAGGAGUGGGCGUGACUGAAUUUA